UAAGAAAUAAGAACUUACUCAACAACUCCUGGAGCCAAAGGAAUACUGAUUUUUAGUCAUUCUUGUGUCUUUUCCUGGAGAACCAUCCUCCUUUAUCCCCACCUCAGGAAUUCUUCGCUUGUGUGAGUAAUAAACCUUUCUCUGGUUAUACCAAAGCACUACUGUCAUGACCUUCAGUAGGAGAAACUAACCUUGGGAGGAGCUGCCCCAUGACAUGGUGAAGUUGCUAGAAAAGCCAUCAUAGAAGAGAUCAUCCAAAAACAAAGACUCCUGAAAGCAUCCAGACAGAAGAAACAGGUUGCACAUGAAUGAGGACCAGGUGGGUUUCUCCAAGAAUGGGACCAUCACACCAUGAGAUCCAAGAAGCCCCAGGAAGAAAGCAGGUUACAUCUGCACUAAUGUGGAACUCUCAUCAGUGGAAACCAGAUUA